CCUACGGGGGGCAGCAGUGAGGAAUAUUGGUCAAUGGACGAGAGUCUGAACCAGCCAAGUAGCGUGAAGGAUGACUGCCCUAUGGGUUGUAAACUUCUUUUAUAUGGGAAUAAAACGUUCCACGUGUGGGAUUUUGUAUGUACCAUAUGAAUAAGUAUCGGCUAACUCCGUGCCAGCAGCCGCGGUAAUACGGAGGAUCCGAGCGUUAUCCGGAUUUAUUGGGUUUAAAGGGAGCGUAGGUGGAUUGUUAAGUCAGUUGUGAAAGUUUGCGGCUCAACCGUAAAAUUGCAGUUGAAACUGGCAGUCUUGAGUACAGUAGAGGUGGGCGGAAUUCGUGGUGUAGCGGUGAAAUGCUUAGAUAUCACGAAGAACUCCGAUUGCGAAGGCAGUUCACUGGACUGCAACUGACACUGAGGCUCGAAAGUGUGGGUAUCAAACAGGAUUAGAUACCCUUGUAGUC
rnacentral:rRNA from 1 species